UUUAGGAUGACGCAGAUGCUAAAUGCCGCGGGAGUCAGAGAAAACCUGGGGUCCUGAUGAUGUUGUUGAGCUGCUGAAUCAACCAUCCCUAAACCCUAUGCUCCCAAGACUUCUUGUCAUCCGCAGCCUGUGGGAGACUGUCUACUCGGUCCACAGAAAGAAGGAUGGAAAAAAGCAAAUGAGUCUCUUCCAGAAUUUGUCCAACCAAAGAACAGAUGAACUUGGU
rnacentral:lncRNA from 1 species